GACGAACGCUGGCGGCGUGCAUAAUACAUGCAAGUAGGACGCAGUUGCGAACGGGUGAGUAAAGCGUAGUUAACUACCUCUUAGAGGGGGAUAACUAUUGUAAACGAUAGCUAAUACCGCAUCCUCGUAGAUGGACCUGUGUUUUAUUAGUUAGUAGGUAGGGUAAUGGCCUACCUAGGCAACGAUACAUAGCAGUCCUGAGAGGGUGAGCGGCCAAACUUGGACUGAGAAACUGACCAGACUCCUACGGGAGGCAGUAGUAGGGAUUCUUCGGUAAUGGGGGGAACCCUGACCGAGCAACGCCGCGUGAGUGAAGAGGGUUUUCGGAUCGUAAAGCUCUGUUGUUAAGGAAGCGUUACUUAACCAGAAAGGGACGGCUAACUACGUGCCAGCAGCCGCGGUAAUUC
rnacentral:rRNA from 1 species